UACAGAGGUCUCAAGCGUUGUUCGGAUUCACUGGGCGUAAAGGGUGCGUAGGUGGCGCCGUAAGUCAGGUGUGAAAUUUCGGAGCUUAACUCCGAAACUGCAUUUGAUACUGCGGUGCUUGAGGACUGGAGAGGAGACUGGAAUUUACGGUGUAGCAGUGAAAUGCGUAGAGAUCGUAAGGAAGACCAGUGGCGAAGGCGGGUCUCUGGACAGUUCCUGACACUGAGGCACGAAGGCCAGGGGAGCAAACGGG
rnacentral:rRNA from 1 species